CCUACGGGCUGCAGCAGUGGGGAAUAUUGGACAAUGGGGGGAACCCUGAUCCAGCGACGCCGCGUGAGUGAAGAAGUUUUUCGGUAUGUAAAGCCCUAUUAUCAGGGAAGAAAAUGACGGUACCUGACUAAUAAGCCCCGGCUAACUCCGUGCCAGCAGCCGCGGUCAUACGUAGGGGGCAAGCGUUAUCCGGAUUCACUGGGUGUAAAGGGAGCGUAGACGGGGUAGCAAGUCGGAUGUGAAAGACUAGGGCCUAACCACGGGACUGCAUUGGAAACUGUUGGACUGGAGUACGGGAGAGGUAGGCGGAAUUCCUGGUGUAGCGGUGAAAUGCGUAGAGAUUAGGAGGAACACCAGUGGCGAAGGCGACUUGCUGGACUGUAACUGACGUUGAGGCGCGAAAGCGUGGGGAGCAAACAGGAUUAGAUACCCUAGUAGUC
rnacentral:rRNA from 1 species